UCUUUGGUAGCUCAGAUGGUAAAGAUUCUGCCUGCAAUGCAGGGGACCCAGGUUCAAUCCCUGGGUCAGGAA
rnacentral:tRNA from 1 species